rnacentral:rRNA from 1 species
CUACGGGUCGCUGCAGUGGGGAAUAUUGGACAAUGGGGGAAACCCUGAUCCAGCAAUGCCGCGUGUGUGAAGAAGGCCUGCGGGUUGUAAAGCACUUUCGGUUGGGAGGACUGCUUCUAGCACUAAUGUUGUUGGAAGUUGACGUUACCUUCAGAAGAAGCACCGGCUAACUCCGUGCCAGCAGCCGCGGUAAUACGGAGGGUGCAAGCGUUAAUCGGAAUUACUGGGCGUAAAGCGCGCGUAGGCGGCUAGAUCAGUCGGGUGUGAAAGCCCCGGGCUUAACCUGGGAACUGCAUCCGAUACUGUCUAGCUUGAGUACAGGAGAGGAGAGUGGAAUUCCACAUGUAGCGGUGAAAUGCGUAGAUAUGUGGAGGAACACCAAUGGCGAAGGCAGCUCUCUGGCCUGAUACUGAUGCUGAGGUGCGAAAGCGUGGGGAGCAAGCAGGAUUAGAUACCCGCGUAGUC